rnacentral:rRNA from 1 species
GACAGAGGGGGCAAGCGUUGCUCGGAAUUACUGGGCGUAAAGGGCGCGUAGGCGGGAUGGCAAGUCGGUCGUGAAAUCCCUCGGCUCAACUGAGGAUCGUCGAUCGAUACUGCCGUUCUUGAGGAUUGCAGAGGAGACUGGAAUUCCCGGUGUAGCGGUGAAAUGUGUAGAGAUCGGGAGGAACACCGGUGGCGAAGGCGGGUCUCUGGGCAAUUCCUGACGCUGAGGCGCGAAAGCUAGGGGAGCAAACAGG